AGAGUUUGAUCCUGGCUCAGGAUGAACGCUAGCGACAGGCUUAACACAUGCAAGUCGAGGGGCAGCGGAGGCGAGUGCUUGCACUUGCCAGACGGCGACCGGCGCACGGGUGAGUAACACGUAUGCGACCUGCCCGUAGCAGGGGGAUAAGCGGAAGAAAUUCCGUCUAAUACCGCGUAAUAUCUUUCGGGGGCAUCCCUGAGGGAUUAAAGGAAGCGAUUCCGGCUACGGAUGGGCAUGCGGCGCAUUAGCUAGUCGGCGGGGUAACGGCCCACCGAGGCGACGAUGCGUAGGGGUUCUGAGAGGAAGGUCCCCCACACUGGUACUGAGACACGGACCAGACUCCUACGGGAGGCAGCAGUGAGGAAUAUUGGUCAAUGGGCGAGAGCCUGAACCAGCCAAGUCGCGUGAGGGAAGGCGGUCCUAUGGAUUGUAAACCUCUUUUGUCGGGGAGCAAAAAGGCCUCGUGAGGCCACAAGCGAGAGUACCCGAAGAAAAAGCAUCGGCUAACUCCAUGCCAGCAGCCGCGGUAAUACGGAGGAUGCGAGCGUUAUCCGGAUUUAUUGGGUUUAAAGGGUGCGUAGGCGGACUGGAAAGUCAGCGGUAAAAUCGAGAGGCUCAACCUCUUUCCGCCGUUGAAACUGUCGGUCUUGAGUGGGCGAGAAGUAUGCGGAAUGCGUGGUGUAGCGGUGAAAUGCAUAGAUAUCACGCAGAACUCCGAUUGCGAAGGCAGCAUACCGGCGCCCGACUGACGCUGAGGCACGAAAGCGUGGGUAUCGAACAGGAUUAGAUACCCUGGUAGUCCACGCAGUAAACGAUGAAUACUAAUUGUCCGGUCAGAAUGAUGACUGGGUGAUACAGCGAAAGCGUUAAGUAUUCCACCUGGGGAGUACGCCGGCAACGGUGAAACUCAAAGGAAUUGACGGGGGCCCGCACAAGCGGAGGAACAUGUGGUUUAAUUCGAUGAUACGCGAGGAACCUUACCCGGGCUCAAACGUAGAAUGACAGACGGUGAAAGCCGUUCUCCCUUCGGGGCAGUCUACGAGGUGCUGCAUGGUUGUCGUCAGCUCGUGCCGUGAGGUGUCGGCUUAAGUGCCAUAACGAGCGCAACCCCCAUCUACAGUUGCUAACAGGUAAAGCUGAGGACUCUGUGGAGACUGCCGGCGCAAGCUGUGAGGAAGGCGGGGAUGACGUCAAAUCAGCACGGCCCUUACGUCCGGGGCGACACACGUGUUACAAUGGCAGGUACAGAGAGAUGCCACCUGGCGACAGGGAGCAGAACUCGAAAGCCUGUCUCAGUUCGGAUCGGAGUCUGCAACCCGACUCCGUGAAGCUGGAUUCGCUAGUAAUCGCGCAUCAGCCAUGGCGCGGUGAAUACGUUCCCGGGCCUUGCACACACCGCCCGUCAAG
rnacentral:rRNA from 1 species